rnacentral:misc_RNA from 1 species
GUAGGUGAACCUGCGGAAGGAUCAUUAAUGAGUUUUAUGCCCUAACGGGUAGACCUCCACCCUUGAAGAUAUACAAUUGUUGCUUUGGCGGGUCGCUUCGGCUACCCUUUGGGUAUGUGCCCGCCAGAGGAGUUAAAUUCUGAAUUAAAGUGUUGUCUGAGUACUAUACAAUAGUUAAAACUUUCAACAACGGAUCUCUUGGUUCUGGCAUCGAUGAAGAACGCAGCAUCUGACUGACUCGGGCAUAAGU